AUGGGGAAUCCGCGUGGCGGCCUCGACGAGCAGAUCGAGCAGCUCCUGCAGUGCAAGCCACUCGUCGAGCCCGAGUUGAAAGCACUGUGUGAGAAAGCUAAAGAGAUUUUGAUGGAGGAGAGCAAUGUUCAGCCUGUGAGAAGCCCUGUCACGAUAUGUGGUGAUAUUCAUGGUCAGUUUCAUGAUCUUGCGGAAUUAUUCAGAAUUGGUGGGAAGUGUCCUGAUACAAACUACCUAUUUAUGGGAGAUUAUGUGGACCGUGGUUACUAUUCUGUUGAAACUGUAUCGCUUCUGGUAGCUUUGAAAGUUCGUUAUCCGCAUCGGCUUACAAUUCUUAGAGGAAACCACGAGAGCCGGCAGAUCACUCAAGUUUAUGGAUUUUAUGAUGAGUGCCUACGGAAGUAUGGGAGUGCUAAUGUAUGGAAAACCUUCACGGAUCUUUUUGACUAUUUACCGUUGACAGCAUUGGUUGAGUCGGAAAUAUUUUGCCUGCAUGGUGGACUAUCACCAUCCAUCGAGACACUUGAUAAUGUCCGUAGCUUUGACCGUAUCCAAGAAGUCCCUCACGAGGGGCCAAUGUGUGACCUUCUAUGGUCUGAUCCUGAUGAUCGAUGUGGUUGGGGCAUUUCACCGCGUGGUGCCGGAUACACAUUUGGCCAGGAUAUUUCAGAACAGUUUAACCAUACCAAUAGCCUUAAGCUAAUAGCAAGAGCUCAUCAGUUAGUUAUGGAGGGAUUCAACUGGGCACAUGAGCAAAAGGUUGUGACAAUAUUUAGUGCACCUAACUACUGUUACCGGUGCGGUAACAUGGCCUCGAUCUUGGAGGUGGAUGACUGCAGGGAGCAUACUUUCAUCCAGUUGAGCCUGCCCCAAGGAGAGGGGAGCCUGACGUGA
rnacentral:rRNA from 1 species